rnacentral:rRNA from 1 species
GACGGAGGGGGCUAGCGUUGUUCGGAAUUACUGGGCGUAAAGGGCGCGUAGGCGGCUCUUCAAGUUAGACGUGAAAGCCCUGGGCUUAACCUAGGAAUAGCGUUUAAUACUGGAGGGCUAGAGAUCGGUAGAGGGAAAUGGAAUUCCUAGUGUAGAGGUGAAAUUCGUAGAUAUUAGGAAGAACACCAGAGGCGAAGGCGGCUUCCUGGGCCGAUACUGACGCUGAGGCGCGAAAGCGUGGGGAGCAAACAGG